rnacentral:lncRNA from 1 species
AAGGUUGCCCUGCUGAUGUCAUGCCUGACCAUAUGACUUGCUCCAGCCAAUGAAAUGUAAGCAGAAGUGACAUAUGCAGCAUGACCAGUGGAAGCUUCGAAGAGCUAUUGCCAAUUUCCACCCUCUCUCUGGAAACUGUCAUUAGGGUUAGGGAAACUGUCAUGAGAUCUGCAUAUUUUAGAUAGAGGCUGCUUGCCUUAUUUGGGCACCUAAUGAAAAAGACAUGGAGGCCAGGUGCGGUGGCUCAUGUCUGUAAUCCCAGCACUUUGGGAGGCCAAGGCGAGUGGAUCACCUGAGGUCAGGAGUUCGAGACCAGCCUGACCAACAUGGCAAAACCCCGUCUGUACUAAAAGUGCAAACACAAAGGGAACUGCGUGGCUUGUUUCUACCUGAACAUUGUCAAGUGAUUUCAUCCUUUGAAACACAGUUGUGAAGUGUGUCCAGCAGUCUGAGAACAAGAAGAAGAAGAAAAUCUAAUCCUUCAGGGUGUCUGUGUGCCAGCCCUGCUCUCAGCACUUCCCAUGUGGAACUCCUUUACUUCUCCUAACAACUCCAUGACAUGGGUUAGACUGUGAUUGUUCCCAUAUUGUUGGUAGGGAAACUGAGGCAUGCAGGUGUUACAGAGCUCUCUCAAGUGGCAAGCUUUCUGGGUGGUUACAGAGUGGCAGAGCUGGGGUAUCCCAUGAUGUCACCACACUGCUAUAUGGAAAAGAACAUUAAUCGAGCACCUACGUGCUUGAUUCUCUUAAUUCUGUGACUGAACUCUCAAAACACCCUGGAAUACUACUAAAGUCAUGCCGUGUGACUUCUGAAGCUAGCUCCUAAGAAGUCCUUGCAGCUUCUGCCUGCGACUCUUAGAACACUUGCUUUGAAGGAUGCCAGAUGCUGUCUUAAAAGUCUGAGCACUCUGAAACCAUCAUGCUGUGAGGAAGCCCAAGCUAACCACAUGGGCAAAAAAGAUGCCCUCUGACUGCCACCAUUUGAGACACUCUAAUUAAGAACUGCCUCAUUGAGCCCAUGAGGCCCUGUGAAUGAUAAUAAUAAAUUGUUUUUAACCACUAUGUUUUUGGAUUUGUUAUAAGUUUAUAGAUAACAAGAAAAAGUUAUAUUAGCAUGGUAAUAAAAUUAUGGAUAUGUGUAA